rnacentral:lncRNA from 1 species
GUAGAAAAUAAAUUGCAUCUGCUAGAAGGUCCCAGCAUGAAAGCAGAUUUCUUAUGUGAUCACCCACCCCUCUAAAAUAGCACAUUAAAUAUAAGACACUGUUAUCUGUUUUAAGUUGCAAUCAGCUUUAUGUUUUUCUUUGGGCUGCUCUUAGAUGUCUGAUGAAUAAAACAGAGUCUGGAAAUGACAGAGCUGAUACUGACAAGGAAUGCAAUGGCAAUAACUCGGAAAGAACAGAAAGCACAAAGCAAGAGAUGUUUCUUCCGCAAUUCCCUGUUCUACAGGCUUCUGAGUGUGAACACGUUAGACUACCUGGGAAUCAAAUGAAUGGCAGCUACCAGUGUCUCCGUAAAUUCCGCAGGGCAGUUUUGGUCAUCCAGGUCAUUCGCAAUCUCAUUAAAAUGUACAGGGACUAUGCAGAAUCUAGAGCUGAACUGUUAUCCUUUUCUCGGCUACAGUUCACUGGAUCCAGGACAGAGACUGAAAACCUCCUUUUUGACUGUUCUUAUUUUAAAGCUAAAGUAGAGGUACUGUAUGCAACCAAUGUGUAAAUAAGGGGUGGAUAAUUGGAGCUUGCAUUUGAAAGGCCUGAUCCUGCACAGACUUGUACACGGGAGUCAUUUUGCUGAUAUGAGCAGUUCCUGCUAUGCAGACAGUUCAAUAGGAACUACUCAAGUGAGUCACGUGCAGAGGUCUCUGGAGAAACAGGUCUUAAAACAAUGCAUUUAAGGGAUGCACUAAUAAAAUCAAUGAUGUUAGAAGCA